CGUGCCAGCAGCCGCGGUAAUACAUAGGUCACAAGCGUUAUCCGGAAUUAUUGGGCGUAAAGCGUUCGUAGGCGGUUUGUUAAGUCUGGAGUUAAAGACUGGGGCUCAACCCCAGCCUGCUCUGGAUACUGGCUGACUAGAGUUACAUAGAGGUAAGUGGAAUUCUUAGUGGAGCGGUGGAAUGCGUAGAUAUUAGGAAGAACACCAAUGGCGAAGGCAGCUUACUGGAUGUACACUGACGCUCAGGGACGAAAGCGUGGGGAGCAAACAGGAUUAGAUACCCUGGUAGUCCACGCCGUAAACGAUGAUCAUUAGCCGCUAGAAUAUUUAGUGGCGCAGCUAACGCAUUAAAUGAUCCGCCUGAGUAGUAUGCUCGCAAGAGUGAAACUUAAAGGAAUUGACGGGGACCCGCACAAGCGGUGGAGCAUGUGGUUUAAUUUGAAGAUACGCGUAGAACCUUACCCACUCUUGACAUCUUCCGCAAUACUAUGGAGACAUAGUGGAGGUUAACGGAAUGACAGAUGGUGCAUGGUUGUCGUCAGCUCGUGCCGUGAGGUGUUAGGUUAAGUCCUGCAACGAGCGCAACCCCUGUCUUUAGUUACUAACGGAUAAUGCCGAGGACUCUAGAGAGACUGACUGGGUAACCAGUAGGAAGGUGGGGACGACGUCAAAUCAUCAUGCCUCUUACGAGUGGGGCAACACACGUGCUACAAUGGACGGUACAAAGAGAAGUAAUAUGGUGACAUGGAGCAAACCUCAAAAAACCGUUCUCAGUUCGGAUUGAAGUCUGAAACUCGACUUCAUGAAGUUGGAAUCGCUAGUAAUCGUAGAUCAGCUACGCUACGGUGAAUACGUUCUCGGGUCUUGUACACACCGCCCGUC
rnacentral:rRNA from 1 species